rnacentral:rRNA from 1 species
CCCGCUGAACUUAAGCAUAUCAAUAAGCGGAGGAAAAGAAACUAACAAGGAUUCCCCUAGUAACUGCGAGUGAAGCGGGAAAAGCUCAAAUUUAAAAUCUGGCGGUCUUUCGGCCGUCCGAGUUGUAAUCUGGAGAAGCGUUUAUCCGCGUUGGACCGUGUACAAGUCUUCUGGAAGGGAGCGUCAUAGAGGGUGAGAAUCCCGUCUUUGACACGGACUACCAAUGCUUUUGUGAUGCGCUCUCGAAGAGUCGAGUUGUUUGGGAAUGCAGCUCAAAAUGGGUGGUAAAUUCCAUCUAAAGCUAAAUAUUGGCGAGAGACCGAUAGCGAACAAGUACCGUGAGGGAAAGAUGAAAAGCACUUUGGAAAGAGAGUUAAACAGUACGUGAAAUUGUUGAAAGGGAAACGUUUGAAGUCAGUCGCGUCGGCCGAGACUCAGCCUUGCUUCCGCUCGGUGCACUUCUCGGUUGACGGGUCAGCAUCAGUUUUGGCCGGUGGAUAAAGGUUCAGAGAAUGUGGCAUCCUCGGAUGUGUUAUAGCUCUGGGUCGCAUACAUCGGCUGGGACUGAGGAACUCAGCACGCCGCAAGAUCCAGGUUUCGACCAUGUUCGUGCUUAGGAUGCUGGCAUAAUGGCUUUAAUCGACCCGUCUUGAAACACGG